UUUCCAUACAACGGCUUGGUUUCGAUGGCUCAGUUUGUAUGACAGCUAUAUGCUAUAGUGGUCCAAUCUGGACAAUUAAAUUAGAUAUUGUGAAGAUAUUCCACCAAAUAAAAAAGUUUUCCAUACAAGAGUUGAUUGCGAGCGCUCAGGUGGUAUGGCAGCUAUAUGCUGCUCCCUUGGAAAGAAAAAGUGUAUAGGGUCUUUGACCUUCUUGGAGCUACAAACUUCGCGAAGAACUUAAUACAUCCUGUUAAGGGUAUAAUGAAUAACCUUUAGUAACAAUAAAGUUAGAUAUAGCGUGCUAACACUUUGAAAUGCUCUCAUACUGACAUUAGUUUAGAGUUUUAGCAACUAAACGUGUGGUUCUUUUUGUUGCUGCUUACUCUGACUAGGGUUAGUGAUAAACUUUAAAGGUUGUCACCGAAGUUGACUAACGGCUAUAAUUCUGAAUCCACUAGCUAAGCCAUAUCAACGGAUAUUGGAGAUAUAGCAGAUCAUAUUUAAAACAUAUAUAAUCAAAUAAUAUAAGCUGAUUCUUUCUUGAAGAAAAAAAAUCGUAACAUAACCUCUAACAGUAUGAUUAGCAGCCAGUACAUCGAUAAUUGGAGCCACUACUUUACCUGCUCAACAUACACCAAUGCGAUUGGAGAAUACUCUAUGCUGCAACAACAAUAAGUACAGCAUAACUUCGGAAGUGUAGAGUAAAAACGAUUCUAACUGUGGGUUGCUACUGAAAAUUGCUCCAGUUUCGGAGAGUUUUCUAAUAUCAGCGUGGAUGCAAUCAGGACUGCUUUAUUGACCGCUCAAGUCAACGGAGUGAAAUUCUUGCGAAGGAGCAGCAUUCAAAUGGAUUUUUUUCUAUCACUGGCGUUUAAUCAAGACAAAUCGGAACUAAAUUGGCCGCAAGCCAAUCAUUUAGAAAACCAUUACUGAGACGUAAAAAUAAUUCGAGGCGACAGUGCCAUAACGUUCAAAAUUUAAAUGGAAAAUUGCUGUUUCCAACUUUAUAGACUAAUUAUACAUUAUACCAAUUCACCAAUACCGGCUGCCAUUGACAAAUACAUACAAUGUUUUUACUUAAGUUGAGCAACGCCAAGUUGGAAACAUUUCUUGUUUACGCACAUAAAACUAUAAUAGAUGUGUAAGCAAUGGGAAAAUUUCGCUUAAUUUCAAAUAUAACUAUCGUAUGCCAUUAUACCAGUUUUAAUAAUACAAUAAAAUUACAUAUUUAAUUGAAUAUUUUCGUAUAUAUUUUGCAAAUAUGAUAAUCUUCUCU